UUAAAUUGAAGAGUUUGAUCAUGGCUCAGAUUGAACGCUGGCGGCAGGCCUAACACAUGCAAGUCGAACGGUAACAGGAAUCAGCUUGCUGAUUUGCUGACGAGUGGCGGACGGGUGAGUAAUGUCUGGGAAACUGCCUGAUGGAGGGGGAUAACUACUGGAAACGGUAGCUAAUACCGCAUAACGUCGCAAGACCAAAGAGGGGGACCUUCGGGCCUCUUGCCAUCGGAUGUGCCCAGAUGGGAUUAGCUAGUAGGUGGGGUAAAGGCUCACCUAGGCGACGAUCCCUAGCUGGUCUGAGAGGAUGACCAGCCACACUGGAACUGAGACACGGUCCAGACUCCUACGGGAGGCAGCAGUGGGGAAUAUUGCACAAUGGGCGCAAGCCUGAUGCAGCCAUGCCGCGUGUAUGAAGAAGGCCUUCGGGUUGUAAAGUACUUUCAGCGGGGAGGAAGGGAGUAAAGUUAAUACCUUUGCUCAUUGACGUUACCCGCAGAAGAAGCACCGGCUAACUCCGUGCCAGCAGCCGCGGUAAUACGGAGGGUGCAAGCGUUAAUCGGAAUUACUGGGCGUAAAGCGCACGCAGGCGGUUUGUUAAGUCAGAUGUGAAAUCCCCGGGCUCAACCUGGGAACUGCAUCUGAUACUGGCAAGCUUGAGUCUCGUAGAGGGGGGUAGAAUUCCAGGUGUAGCGGUGAAAUGCGUAGAGAUCUGGAGGAAUACCGGUGGCGAAGGCGGCCCCCUGGACGAAGACUGACGCUCAGGUGCGAAAGCGUGGGGAGCAAACAGGAUUAGAUACCCUGGUAGUCCACGCCGUAAACGAUGUCGACUUGGAGGUUGUGCCCUUGAGGCGUGGCUUCCGGAGCUAACGCGUUAAGUCGACCGCCUGGGGAGUACGGCCGCAAGGUUAAAACUCAAAUGAAUUGACGGGGGCCCGCACAAGCGGUGGAGCAUGUGGUUUAAUUCGAUGCAACGCGAAGAACCUUACCUGGUCUUGACAUCCACGGAAGUUUUCAGAGAUGAGAAUGUGCCUUCGGGAACCGUGAGACAGGUGCUGCAUGGCUGUCGUCAGCUCGUGUUGUGAAAUGUUGGGUUAAGUCCCGCAACGAGCGCAACCCUUAUCCUUUGUUGCCAGCGGUCCGGCCGGGAACUCAAAGGAGACUGCCAGUGAUAAACUGGAGGAAGGUGGGGAUGACGUCAAGUCAUCAUGGCCCUUACGACCAGGGCUACACACGUGCUACAAUGGCGCAUACAAAGAGAAGCGAUCUCGCGAGAGCAAGCGGACCUCAUAAAGUGCGUCGUAGUCCGGAUUGGAGUCUGCAACUCGACUCCAUGAAGUCGGAAUCGCUAGUAAUCGUGGAUCAGAAUGCCACGGUGAAUACGUUCCCGGGCCUUGUACACACCGCCCGUCACACCAUGGGAGUGGGUUGCAAAAGAAGUAGGUAGCUUAACCUUCGGGAGGGCGCUUACCACUUUGUGAUUCAUGACUGGGGUGAAGUCGUAACAAGGUAACCGUAGGGGAACCUGCGGUUGGAUCACCUCCUUACCUUAAAGAAGC
rnacentral:rRNA from 2 species